UGCAGUCGACGGCAGCACAGUAAGAGCUUGCUCUUAUGGGUGGCGAGUGGCGGACGGGUGAGGAAUACAUCGGAAUCUACUCUUUCGUGGGGGAUAACGUAGGGAAACUUACGCUAAUACCGCAUACGACCUACGGGUGAAAGCGGAGGACCUUCGGGCUUCGCGCGGUUGAAUGAGCCGAUGUCGGAUUAGCUAGUUGGCGGGGUAAAGGCCCACCAAGGCGACGAUCCGUAGCUGGUCUGAGAGGAUGAUCAGCCACACUGGAACUGAGACACGGUCCAGACUCCUACGGGAGGCAGCAGUGGGGAAUAUUGGACAAUGGGCGCAAGCCUGAUCCAGCCAUGCCGCGUGGGUGAAGAAGGCCUUCGGGUUGUAAAGCCCUUUUGUUGGGAAAGAAAAGCAGUCGGUUAAUACCCGAUUGUUCUGACGGUACCCAAAGAAUAAGCACCGGCUAACUUCGUGCCAGCAGCCGCGGUAAUACGAAGGGUGCAAGCGUUACUCGGAAUUACUGGGCGUAAAGCGUGCGUAGGUGGUGGUUUAAGUCUGUUGUGAAAGCCCUGGGCUCAACCUGGGAAUUGCAGUGGAUACUGGAUCACUAGAGUGUGGUAGAGGGUAGCGGAAUUCCCGGUGUAGCAGUGAAAUGCGUAGAGAUCGGGAGGAACAUCCGUGGCGAAGGCGGCUACCUGGACCAACACUGACACUGAGGCACGAAAGCGUGGGGAGCAAACAGGAUUAGAUACCCUGGUAGUCCACGCCCUAAACGAUGCGAACUGGAUGUUGGGUGCAAUUUGGCACGCAGUAUCGAAGCUAACGCGUUAAGUUCGCCGCCUGGGGAGUACGGUCGCAAGACUGAAACUCAAAGGAAUUGACGGGGGCCCGCACAAGCGGUGGAGUAUGUGGUUUAAUUCGAUGCAACGCGAAGAACCUUACCUGGUCUUGACAUCCACGGAACUUUCCAAAGAUGGAUUGGUGCCUUCGGGAACCGUGAGACAGGUGCUGCAUGGCUGUCGUCACCUCGUGUCCUGAGAUGUUGGGGUUAAUUCCCGCAACGAAGGGCAACCCUUGUUCUUUAUUUGCCACCACCUAAUGGUGGGGAACUCUUAAGGAGAACCCCCCGGUGACAAACCCGAAGAAAGA
rnacentral:rRNA from 1 species